AUUCUUGAGAAUAUUUAAUUUUAUCUUCCAUGCCAAAGCCAAAGUUUGAAAUAACUUUUUUAGAUUAUGAAAACUGUAAAUUCAAGUUCAAGAAUACUAACUUAGCUAUGGCCAAUUCUCUGAGGCGUGUUAUGCUCUCUGAAGUAGCAACCAUGGCCAUUGAUCUUGUUGAAAUUGAAAUCAACUCUUCCGUUUUAAUAGACGAGUUUAUUGCUCAUCGUCUCGGUUUAAUACCGCUAGUUAGUACGUUUGUGGACAAAAUUAACUACAACAGAGAAUGCACUUGUGUUUCUUAUUGUGAUCAGUGCGCGGUUGUUUUUAAUUUGGAUGUCGAAGCAGAAGAAGACGAGGAAAGGAAAAUUACAAGCCGAGAUUUAGUUUCCCACAACGAUGAAGUAGUCCCCGUGAGUAAUAAUUUAAAUGAAGACGAGUUUGACGAGCAAGACGACAUUCUUAUCGUUAAAAUAAAAAACGGCCAGCGCUUAAAACUUCGCGCCAUUGCAAAAAAAGGCAUUGGUAAAGAGCACGCCAAGUGGUGUCCGACAGCAGCCAUUGGCUUUGAGUACGAUCCCGACAACAUUGCAAGGCAUACGACCUAUCCUGUGCCUGAUGAAUGGCCUAAAAGUGAGAAUUCUGAGUUGCCUGAUACCGCUUGUGAAAUAGGUUUGAAAUAACAUGUGCUAUGACAUGCGAUAAGAAGCACGUGUAGAAUCAUGAAUCACAGAACCAGAAGUCUCGUGAUUUACCAAGUGAUUUAUAGAGUUAAAUUCUGCAGUUAUGUUAUGGCAUUCCUUUUUACUCAAGGACCGUACGACCCCAAUUAUGUAAUCGAUUCGUUUUACUUCGAC